AAUAGAUGACGUUGUUGACUUUUUUUCACAUGUUUGACCAUUCGACUUAUUCAAAAAAUUUACGUAAUUAUAAUUUAUUUUGUUAUGAGUUGUUUUAUCAUUCAUAGUACUUUAAGUGUGAUUUAUAUCUUAUACAUUUGCAUAAACUUUUGAAAUAAGAUGAAUGUUCAAACAUGUGAGAAAAAGUCAACGGCGACAUCUAUU
rfam:Oryza sativa (indica cultivar-group) chromosome 10, whole genome shotgun sequence.